rnacentral:rRNA from 1 species
GUGAGUAGUUCAGAGUUUGAUCCUGGCUCAGGAUGAACGCUGGCGGCGUGCUUAACACAUGCAAGUCGAACGGAGUUUACAUGUGAGCGGAGGGUGCUUGCAUCUAACAAUCUUUUGUAAACUUAGUGGCGGACGGGUGAGUAACGCGUGGGUAACCUGCCGUAUGCAGGGGGACAACAGCUGGAAACGGCUGCUAAUACCGCAUAAGCGCACAGUACUGCAUGGUACAGUGUGAAAAGUUCUGGCGGCAUACGAUGGACCCGCGUCUGAUUAGCUAGUUGGUGAGGUAACGGCCCACCAAGGCGACGAUCAGUAGCCGGCCUGAGAGGGUGAACGGCCACAUUGGGACUGAGACACGGCCCAA